UCUCCGUUGGUGAACCAGCGGAGGGAUCAUUACUGAGUUUACAACUCCCAAACCCUUUGUGAAUCGUACUCGUUGCUUCGGGGGCGACCCUGCCGUCCGCGGCUGAGCGCCCCCGGGGUCAAUCAAACACUGCAUUCUCUGCGUCGGAGUAUUAGUAAAUCUAAUCAAAACUUUCAACAACGGAUCUCUUGGUUCUGGCAUCGAUGAAGAACGCAGC
rnacentral:misc_RNA from 1 species